CACAAGCUGAACCAGGAAGGAGGCAGGAGAGGGAACAGGAUGUGUGGUCACUAAUACCGUCAUUGACUAAAAUCACUGCCCAGGUGAGAACCCCUGGACCUGGAUGGAAGCAGGUCAGCUGGAGAGAACAGUGUCUGGACAGCAGUGUCUCUGUGAGAGGUGAAGGGCGGUGCUGUGCCCUGAGCAGCAGCUGGAUUCUGACAUCACAGCCUUAGGGUGCAGAGGACAGACUGGAGGGGACCAGGCUGUGUCACUUUGCCACAGUGGAGCUGCACAUGGGGAUGAAUGGCCAGAACCAGGAAAAUGUCAAGGAAAAACCUUUCAGACUUUGUGAUUAGCCUGGUGUGGUAGUGAAUGUCUGUAACUCCAGUGUGUGCAAGGGGCAGGCAGGAGGAUCAGUAGUUCAAAGUCAUCCUUGGGUGUGGAAGACCUCAAACAAACACUCAGUGAUUAGAUGGAUGACAUGGGGACCAGGGAACAGGAACAAGUGUAAGUGUGUUGAGAAACACUCCGGUGAAACAACCAAGCCAUAUAGGGACAGAAAGAGGAAGUCUGUUUGAGAGUGUGUAAUGGCGGUUACUUUUCCACUGUGGUGAUAAAACAUCAUAAUCAAAAGUAACUUGAGGAAGGAAGAAUUGGAUUUGGCUUGUGGUCCAGAAGGAAGGUUAAUAGUGGAGGGGCAGCUGAAGCAGGACACUGAGAAGUCACAUCGGCAACACAAGCAGAAAACACCUUUCCAAUAUGACCAAGAUUUCAAAUAGGACAGAGGACUAAAGCCGAAACCCCAGCCAGGUUCUACCUGGAUGAUUUACACAGAAACAGGAAGAGUUGAGCCUGUUCUUGCCACCACUGUCAUGGGAAAACACAGCUGGGUAUAAAAUCAAAGUCUGAAUACUGGCGACACCAUCAGGAACUGCAGUCUAAAGAAUCACAAAGCCUGUCCUGGGAGGCUGUGUUUACUCAGGAUGAAUACUGGGUAAACGUGUGGUGGCAGAUCAGCUGUGAAAGGUGUCUUUAGUAUUUGUGUGUGUCUGUGUGCAAGUGAAUGUAUGCACUCAUAUAAGUAGAGACACUCCCCAUGGUCACAUGUAUGUAAAAGCCUGAUGUGUGCAUACCAAAGCCCCAGGCUGCUUUCCCACACGAAGUGCCUCUCCCUUGUGAAAGCAUCAUGACUGCAGGGUCCAGUCACUGCUGUUGGGGGUAACAGGGUUGGCACUGCAGGAGACUGAUGGCAGCAUCCUGGACAGAAAUCAUCCCACAGCAGGGUCCCUGUGGGGAUUCACUGAGUCCAGGACUUGAAACUAGAACAGACCCAUGACUUGGGAUUAAGGACCCAGCAGGUAGCAGCAGUGAAGAAGAGCUCGAGGGG